GAUGAAGAACGUAGCGAAAUGCGAUAAGUAAUGUGAAUUGCAGAAUUCAGUGAAUCAUCGAAUCUUUGAACGCACAUUGCGCCCAUUAGUAUUCUAGUGGGCAUGCCUGUUCGAGCGUCAUUAAGUCCACUUAAGCCCUGCUUAGUGUUGGGAGACUGCUCCAGCGGUGCUACCCUGUAGCUACCCUGCAGCUCCUCAAAGACAGCGGCGGAGUUGUGGUAUCCUCUGAGCUUAGUAACUUGUUCUAGCUUUCGAGUACNNCACUUCCCCUGCCGUAAAACCCUUAAUUUUUAAUGGUUGACCUCGGAUCAGGCAGGAAUACCCGCUGAACUUAAGCAUAUCAAUAAGCGGAGGA
rnacentral:misc_RNA from 1 species